CUUCUGGUUGAUAUCUAUUCUUGUGGUUAUUCUGUGCCUUGUAUUCUUUGUACCAUGGAUCCACACCUUUACCUUAUUUUAUAUUUUUUCUAAUCUUGUUUUUUCUAAUCUCUUUUUCACUGAAGUUGUGUAUAAAGGACAAAGGACAGUUAAAUCUGUGAGUUAAAUAUUUAUAGUUGUUUAGAAGGCUGCUUUGUAUCUUUUCCUACUGAAAAACCUAUUUCAGAUUUUUAGAUUUAUAUUGACGAAUAUCAAAAUUCCAAUGAUGUGAAUUAUGUGUAAAAUAGAGGAAAGAUACUUAAUGGAGAUUGUGAAGUAAGACAUUUUGGACAAUUGGACAUGACAAAGAAUUAAGAAGCACGGCAAUAAAGGUAGAAAAAAAAUAAGGCUAGAGAAGCAGCAGUCUAGUGUUGAGAAUAUCGGAAGCCCCAAAAUUAGAUGGAUCCUAUAAUAAUGGAUAUUAAGGACAGAAUUUGUCUGUUUAUUUCUUUUAAAUCAUGUAUAAUUUAAAUUUUGUAAAGUUGAGUUUCAUCUUAUUAAAUAAAUUACUUUUUCUUUUCAAAUGUAGCCAUCUAUAGUGUUUUAUUUGUGUCUAAUUCUAUUGAUAAUGAAAUUAGAGCUGCACAAUUC